rnacentral:tRNA from 1 species
GUGUUUUAGCUCAGUGGUAGAGUGCAUGCCUUGCAUGUGUGAGUCACUGGGUUCGAUCCUCAGCAAUACA